rnacentral:rRNA from 1 species
GACGAACGCUGGCGGCGUGCCUAAUACAUGCAGGUAGAACGCACAGUUUAUACCUUCGCUUGCUACACCAUAGACUGUGAGUUGCGAACGGGUGAGUAACGCGUAGGUAACCUGCCUGGUAGCGGGGGAUAACUAUUGGAAACGAUAGCUAAUACCGCAUAAUAUUAAUCAUUGCAUGAUAAUUAAUUGAAAGGUGCAAUUGCACCACUACCAGAUGGACCUGCGUUGUAUUAGCUAGUAGGUGAGGUAACGGCUCACCUAGGCGACGAUACAUAGCCGACCUGAGAGGGGGAUCGGCCACACUGGGACUGAGACAAGGCCCAGACUCCUACGGGAGGCAGCAGUAGGGAAUCUUAGGCAAUGGACGAAAGUCUGACCGAGCAACGCCGCGUGAGUGAAGAAGGGUUUCGGAUCGUAAAGCUCUGUUGUAAGGGAAGAACGGGUGUGAGAGUGGAAAGUUCAAAAUGUGACGGUAUCUUACCAGAAAGGGACGGCUAACUACGUG